rnacentral:rRNA from 1 species
UAGGGAAUCUUCCACAAUGGACGCAAGUCUGAUGGAGCAACGCCGCGUGAGUGAAGAAGGUUUUCGGACCGUAAAGCUCUGUUGUUGGUGAAGAAGGAUAGAGGUAGUAACUGGCCUUUAUUUGACGGUAAUCAACCAGAAAGUCACGGCUAACUACGUGCCAGCAGCCGCGGUAAUCGUAGGUGGCAAGCGUUGUCCGGAUUUAUUGGGCGUAAAGCGAGCGCAGGCGGAAGAAUAAGUCUGAUGUGAAAGCCCUCGGCUUAACCGAGGAAUUGCAUCGGAAACUGUUUUUCUUGAGUGCAGAAGAGGAGAGUAGAACUCCAUGUGUAGCGGUGGAAUGCGUAGAUAUAUGGAAGAAUACCAGUGGCGAAGGCGGCUCUCUGGUCUGCAACUGACGCUGAGGCUCGAAAGCAUGGGUAGCGAACAGGAUUAGAUACCCUGGUAGUCCAUGCCGUAAACGAUGAGUGCUAAGUGUUGGGAGGCUUCCGCCUCUCAGUGCUGCAGCUAACGCAUUAAGCACUCCCCCUGGGGGAGUACGACCGCAAGGUUGAA